AGUAGCUUUUCUCACUAGUCUAGUCACGAUCACGAGUCGGUCGUCAGUCAAUGGCAACUGGUGGCUGGGAGGCUGCUCCGGUCGACAGACCUCGCCUCGUCAAGACGCCGUCGGGGAACCCGCUGCCCCGGCGGAGGGGCCAGGUCAAGGAGAGGAUCGUCAGGGACAUUGCGGAGGCCCUGGCCACGGCGGCGGCCCUCGCCUGCGGCGACAGGACGGGCGUGGGCAAGAGAGGCGAAGGAGGGAGGGCGGCCGCCGCGACCGCGUCGCCGUCACCCGGUGCCAAGAAGAAAUGAUUGGUCGACACGACUGACUGCAGAAAAGGCAAACAUGUGCUAACUGUGCGCAUGUAUCGUGAGAUGGAUGGUACGUGUCCCGUGCGUGAAUCCGUGAGUUUCAGGUUACUAGUAGUACUACUGAACUGAUCAGGGGGUGUCGGAAGGAUCAUUUCUCCUAUUCUCGUUACAUAGAAACCAAACAAGAUAACGAGAUGUAAGUUGCUUCCAAUAUGUAUAUUGAGCUAGUGUUUUACUA